UCUCGCUUUUGGAGAAUCGAUCUUUUUAAAGGGGAAGGGAGAGGAGGAAUAUCGUUUCUAAUUCUACUCCACUUGUUCACAGGUUGUGUGUGGUGUGGGGGGGGGACAAAAAAUGAGAAAAAAUAUAUUUAAAUAAAAGCUAAAUAUUGAAAGAAAUGAUUGAACAGGUAGGCCCUUUCUUACUUACAUUUUCAACAUAAGAAACAUUUUGUAAUUCAUGAGAAACGGUUGAUUAUUUUUUUGGUAACAUCAUUUGGCUAUAGGAGAGAAGAUAAAACAGAAGACCAAGAAGAAGAAAAAGGAAAAGAAAAAUAUGGGAGA
rnacentral:lncRNA from 1 species